GACGAACGCUGGCGGCGUGCCUAAUACAUGCAAGUAGAGCGCAGUUGCGAACGGGUGAGUACCGCGUAGGUAACUGCCUAAUAUCGGGGGAUAACUACUGGAAACGAUAGCUAAUACCGCAUACUAGUAGAUGGACCUGGGUUGUAUUGGCUAGUAGGUAGGGUAAUGGCCUACCUAGUCGACGAUACGUAGCCGACCUGAGAGGGUGAUCCGCCACACUGGGACUGAGACACGGCCCAGACUCCUACGGGAGGCAGCAGUAGGGAAUCGUCGGCAAUGGGGGGAACCCUGACCGAGCAACGCCGCGUGAGUGAAGAAGGUUUUCGGAUCGUAAAGCUCUGUUGUUAAGGAAGCGGUACUUAACCAGAAAGGGACGGCUAACUACGUGCCAGCAGCCGCGGUAAUUC
rnacentral:rRNA from 1 species